CCUGACUGCUAUCGGAUUGAUACUAAGCCAUGCGAGUCUUUGUAGUAAUACAAGGCAUACGGCUCAGUAACGCGUAGUCAACCUACCCUAUGGACAAGAAUAAUCUCGGGAAACUGAGCAUAAUUCCUGGUAGAUCAUAAUGCCUGGAAUGGUUUAUGGUUAAAAUGAUUCGUCGCCAUAGGAUGGGACUGCGGCCUAUCAGCUUGUUGGUGAGGUAAUGGCCCACCAAGGCGAUUACAGGUACGGGCUCUGAGAGGAGAAGCCCGGAGAUGGGUACUGAGACAAGGACCCAGGCCCUAUGGGGCGCAGCAGGCGAGAAAACUUUGCAAUGUGCGAAAGCACGACAAGGUUAGUCCGAGUGAUUUCUGCUAAAGAGAUCUUUUGCUAGUUAUAAAACCACUAGUGAAUAAGGGGUGGGCAAGUUCUGGUGUCAGCCGCCGCGGUAAAACCAGCACCUCAAGUGGUCAGGAUGAUUAUUGGGCCUAAAGCAUCCGUAGCCGGCUCUGUAAGUUUUCGGUUAAAUCUAUGCGCUCAACGUAUGGGCUGCCGAAAAUACUGCAGAGAUAGGGAGUGGGAGAGGUAGACGGUACUCGGUAGGAAGGGGUAAAAUCCUUUGAUCUAUCGAUGACCACCUGUGGCGAAGGCGGUCUACCAGAACACGUUCGACGGUGAGGGAUGAAAGCUGGGGGAGCAAACCGGAUUAGAUACCCGGGUAGUCCCAGCUGUAAACGAUGCAGACUCGAUGAUGCAUUGGCAUAUAGCCAGUGCAGUGUCGCAGGGAAGCCGUUAAGUCCGCCGCCUGGGAAGUACGUACGCAAGUAUGAAACUUAAAGGAAUUGGCGGGGGAGCACCACAAGGGGUGAAGCCUGCGGUUC
rnacentral:rRNA from 1 species